UCAUGGCUUCGGUUCUUGUGUGUUUUGUUUCCUUUUUUAGAGUUCUUUUUCGGUGUUUUUUGGAUAGAUUGUGCUCUUUAACCUAUGACACUCGCAACUGAACGGUUCCAUAUACUUUCAGCAUCGGCGGUGUGCUCUUUGCAAAGCCUUGGAGAUGCCUCUCCUGCAAAGUCUGAACUUGCAGAGAUAGUCCCACAAGAGAAAUCACUAAAAGGUAAUGCUUCAUUUUUCAGGUCAUCAUCCUUCUUGCCAUUUCUCCCCCGUUCAUUUUUCAAUGGAUGUGGCUCAGUAUGCACGUGUUCCAUUGUGAUUUUGUUGUUCCAUAGCUUCCAUUCAACCAAUGCCACCGAGUCCAAGGUAUUCUACCUCAAGAUGAAGGGCGACUACCACAGGGCAGGCAGAGAGCCUUGGAACCGAACUCUUGGAGAUGGUGCCUAGCAGGGAAGAGGAGAUUAAGUUGAAAGAAUACAGGGAGGAUACUGUGUCGACUUUUGUAGUUGAUGAUUAUGUGAGACUUUAGUUUAAGGGCUCAACUUUUACCAGUUCUUGGAAGUCAUUUAGUAGCCCUAAGAUUUCAUCAACAUUCUUAGUAGUAAUUGCUAUAGUAUCAAAUGGGAUUGUGGUACGAGUUGCUCGAGUACUAAGUACUAACGUUGUUGUACAUUGUGAAGCUAAGUGGGUAAUAUCAAAAGGGAUUAAGAUUUAUGUGUGGUGCUUA